rnacentral:misc_RNA from 1 species
GAUGAAGAACGUAGCGAAAUGCGAUACGUAAUGUGAAUUGCAGAAUUCAGUGAAUCAUCGAAUCUUUGAACGCAUAUUGCGCUCUCUGGUAUUCCGGAGAGCAUGCUUGUUUGAGUAUCAGUAAACACCUCAACUUCCAUAUCUUUUUUGAAAUGGGAGUUGGACUUGAGUGAUCCCAACGCUUUUCCUCACCGAAAAGUGGCGGGUUACUUGAAAUGCAGGUGCAGCUGGACUUUUCUCUGAGCUAUAAGCAUAUCUAUUUAGUCUGCCUAAAAAACAGAUUAUUACCUUUGCUGCAGCUAACAUAAAGGAGAUUAGUUCUUGUGCUGACUGAUGCAGGAUUCACAAAGACGGCUUCGGCCGACUUUGUAAACUCGAUCUCAAAUCAAGUAAGACUACCCGCUGAACUUAAGCAUAUCAAAAGCGGAGGA